GACGAACGCUGGCGGCGUGCCUAAUACAUGCAAGUGGGACGCAAGGAAACACACUGUGCUUGCACACCGUGUUUUCUUGAGUCGCGAACGGGUGAGUAACGCGUAGGUAACCUGCCUAUUAGCGGGGGAUAACUAUUGGAAACGAUAGCUAAUACCGCAUAAUAUUAAUUAUUGCAUGAUAAUUGAUUGAAAGAUGCAAGCGCAUCACUAGUAGAUGGACCUGCGUUGUAUUAGCUAGUUGGUAAGGUAAGAGCUUACCAAGGCGACGAUACAUAGCCGACCUGAGAGGGUGAUCGGCCACACUGGGACUGAGACACGGCCCAGAAUCCUACGGGAGGCAGCAGUAGGGAAUCUUCGGCAAUGGACGAAAGUCUGACCGAGCAACGCCGCGUGAGUGAAGAAGGUUUUCGGAUCGUAAAGCUCUGUUGUAAGUCAAGAACGUGUGUGAGAGUGGAAAGUUCACACAGUGACGGUAGCUUACCAGAAAGGGACGGCUAACUACGUG
rnacentral:rRNA from 1 species